AUACGAAGGGAGCUAGCGUUGUUCGGAAUUACUGGGCGUAAAGCGUACGCAGGCGGCUUGGUAAGUAGAGGGUGAAAUCCCAGGGCUCAACCCUGGAACUGCCUCCUAAACUGCUAAGCUAGAAUCCUGGAGAGGUGAGUGGAAUUCCUAGUGUAGAGGUGAAAUUCGUAGAUAUUAGGAAGAACACCAGUGGCGAAGGCGACUCACUGGACAGGUAUUGACGCUGAGGUACGAAAGCGUGGGGAGCGAACAGGAUUAGAAACCCUAGUAGUCC
rnacentral:rRNA from 1 species